GACGAACGCUGGCGGCGUGCUUAACACAUGCAAGUCGAACGCUGAAGCCCUCCAGCUUGCUGGUGGGUGGAUGAGUGGCGAACGGGUGAGUAACACGUGAGUAACCUGCCCCUGACUCUGGGAUAAGCCCGGGAAACUGGGUCUAAUACCGGAUAGGACGCAUGGCCGCAUGGUCUGUGCGUGGAAAGGAUUUUGUCUGGUUGGGGAUGGACUCGCGGCCUAUCAGCUUGUUGGUGGGGUAGUGGCCUACCAAGGCAGCGACGGGUAGCCGGCCUGAGAGGGCGACCGGCCACACUGGGACUGAGACACGGCCCAGACUCCUACGGGAGGCAGCAGUGGGGAAUAUUGCACAAUGGGCGCAAGCCUGAUGCAGCGACGCCGCGUGGGGGAUGAAGGCCUUCGGGUUGUAAACUCCUUUCGCCAUUGACGAAGCCCUUUGGGGUGACGGUAGGUGGAGAAGAAGCACCGGCUAACUACGUGCCAGCAGCCGCAGUAAAAC
rnacentral:rRNA from 1 species